UACUCGAGUGGCGAACGGGUGAGUAACACGUGGGUGAUCUGCCCUGCACUUCGGGAUAAGCCUGGGAAACUGGGUCUAAUACCGGAUAGGAGCCAUUUUUAGUGUGAUGGUUGGAAAGUUUUUCGGUGUAGGAUGAGCUCGCGGCCUACCAGCUUGUUGGUGGGGUAAUGGCCUACCAAGGCGGCGACGGGUAGCCGGCCUGAGAGGGUGGACGGCCACAUUGGGACUGAGAUACGGCCCAG
rnacentral:rRNA from 1 species